CUCACCACGGAAUUUGGGAGGUGGUGCAAAUACCCUGCCUGCGUCAAGCUCCACAAGAGUACUGCAGUUACCAAAGACUCAGGAAAAGGGAAGGAAACACUAAGUCCAGACCGAGAGACAGUCAUCAGAGGAAAGCUGCAGUGGCUGUGGUGGCGUGAAUUAUAGGAGGUUUGAAGAUGAGUUCACGUAGCAGAAGCAAUAGCAGGAGCCGAAGUAUGAGUCAGAGCCAGAGUAGGAGCCGAAGCAGGAGCCCCCGAGAUCGCAGAAUUCGAUCUCGACGCUAUU
rnacentral:misc_RNA from 1 species